AGUGAACGCUGGCGGUAGGCCUAACACAUGCAAGUCGAACGGCAGCACAGUAAGAGCUUGCUCUUACGGGUGGCGAGUGGCGGACGGGUGAGGAAUACAUCGGACUCUACUUUUUCGUGGGGGAUAACGUAGGGAAACUUACGCUAAUACCGCAUACGACCUACGGGUGAAAGCAGGGGAUCUUCGGACCUUGCGCGAUUGAAUGAGCCGAUGUCGGAUUAGCUAGUUGGCGGGGUAAAGGCCCACCAAGGCGACGAUCCGUAGCUGGUCUGAGAGGAUGAUCAGCCACACUGGAACUGAGACACGGUCCAGACUCCUACGGGAGGCAGCAGUGGGGAAUAUUGGACAAUGGGGGCAAGCCUGAUCCAGCCAUACCGCGUGGGUGAAGAAGGCCUUCGGGUUGUAAAGCCCUUUUGUUGGGAAAGAAAAGCAGCAGGUUAAUACCCCGCUGUUCUGACGGUACCCAAAGAAUAAGCACCGGCUAACUUCGUG
rnacentral:rRNA from 1 species